rnacentral:tRNA from 1 species
GGAAGUGUGCCCGAAAGAUAGGGACCUCCUUGAUAGGGAGAACCAUAGGGGUUUAAACCCCCUCGCUUCCU